rnacentral:rRNA from 1 species
AACGAACGCUGGCGGCAGGCUUAACACAUGCAAGUCGAGCGAGACCUUCGGGUCUAGCGGCGGACGGGUGAGUAACGCGUGGGAACGUGCCCUUCUCUACGGAAUAGCCCCGGGAAACUGGGAGUAAUACCGUAUACGCCCUUUGUGGGAAAGAUUUAUCGGAGAAGGAUCGGCCCGCGUUGGAUUAGGUAGUUGGUGGGGUAAUGGCCCACCAAGCCGACGAUCCAUAGCUGGUUUGAGAGGAUGAUCAGCCACACUGGGACUGAGACACGGCCCAGACUCCUACGGGAGGCAGCAGUGGGGAAUCUUAGACAAUGGGGGCAACCCUGAUCUAGCCAUGCCGCGUGAGUGAUGAAGGCCUUAGGGUUGUAAAGCUCUUUCAGCUGGGAAGAUAAUGACGGUACCAGCAGAAGAAGCCCCGGCUAACUCCGUG